GACGAACGCUGGCGGCGUGCUUAACACAUGCAAGUCGAACGGAAAGGCCCUGCUUGCAGGGUUCUCGCGUGGCGAACGGGUGAGUAACACGUGGGUGAUCUGCCCCUUUCUUUGGGUUAAGCCUGUUAAACUGGGUCUAAUACUGGCUAGAACCAUGCUGUAGGUGGUUUGGUGGAAAGAUUUUUUCGGUAAGGGAUGAGCUCGCGGCCUAUCAGCUUGUUGGUGGGGUAAUGGCCUACGAAGGCGUCGACGGGUAGCCGGCGUGAGAGGGUGGACGGACACAUUGGGAAUGAGAUACGGGCCAGACGCCGAAGGGAGGCAGCAGUGGGGAAUAUUGCACAAUGGGAGCAAGCCUGAGGCAGCGACGCCGGGUGGGGGAUGACGGCCUUCGGGUUGUAAACUCCUUUCAGCCAGGACGAAGCCACGUUUGGGGUGACGGUAGUGGUAGAAGAAGCACCGGCUAACUACGUG
rnacentral:rRNA from 1 species